rnacentral:rRNA from 1 species
CUGAGACCUGAUGCCGAGCCGAUUGUGGUGAAGUGGAUGAUCCUAUGCUGUCGAGAAAAGCCUCUAGCGAGUUUCAUGGCGGCCCGUACCCUAAACCGACUCAGGUGGUCUGGUAGAGAAUACCGAGGCGUUCGGGUGAACUAUGGUUAAGGAACUCGGCAAAAUGCCCCCGUAACUUCGGGAGAAGGGGGGCCAUCACUGGUGAUCCGAUUUACUCGGUGAGCUGGGGGUGGCCGCAGAGACCAGCGAGAAGCGACUGUUUACUAAAAACACAGGUCCGUGCGAAGCCGUAAGGCGAUGUAUACGGACUGACGCCUGCCCGGUGCUGGAACGUUAAGGGGACCGGUUAGUCACUCUUCGGGGUGGCGAAGCUGAGAACUUAAGCGCCAGUAAACGGCGGUGGUAACUAUAACCAUCCUAAGGUAGCGAAAUUCCUUGUCGGGUAAGUUCCGACCUGCACGAAUGGCGUAACGACUUCUCGACUGUCUCAACCAUAGGCCCGGUGAAAUUGCACUACGAGUAAAGAUGCUCGUUUCGCGCAGCAGGACGGAAAGACCCCGGGACCUUUACUACAGUUUGAUAUUGGUGUUCGGUUCGGCUUGUGUAGGAUAGCUGGGAGACUGUGAAGCUCGGACGCCAGUUCGGGUGGAGUCGUCGUUGAAAUACCAGUCUGGUCGUGCUGGAUGUCUAACCCGGGUCCGUGAUCCGGAUCGGGGACAGUGUCUGAUGGGUAGUUUAACUGGGGCGGUUGCCUCCCAAAGGGUAACGGAGGCGCCCAAAGGUUCCCUCAGCCUGGUUGGCAAUCAGGUGGUGAGUGUAAGUGCACAAGGGAGCUUGACUGUGAGACCGACGGGUCGAGCAGGGACGAAAGUCGGGACUAGUGAUCCGGCGGUGGCUUGUGGAAGCGCCGUCGCUCAACGGAUAAAAGGUACCCCGGGGAUAACAGGCUGAUCUUCCCCAAGAGUCCAUAUCGACGGGAUGGUUUGGCACCUCGAUGUCGGCUCGUCGCAUCCUGGGGCUGGAGUCGGUCCCAAGGGUUGGGCUGUUCGCCCAUUAAAGCGGUACGCGAGCUGGGUUUAGAACGUCGUGAGACAGUUCGGUCCCUAUCCGCUGCGCGCGCAGGAAUAUUGAGAAGGGCUGUCCCUAGUACGAGAGGACCGGGACGGACGAACCUCUGGUGUGCCAGUUGUUCUGCCAAGGGCAUGGCUGGUUGGCUACGUUCGGGAGGGAUAACCGCUGAAAGCAUCUAAGCGGGAAGCCUGCUUCGAGAUGAGUAUUCCCACCCACUUGAUGGGGUAAGGCUCCCAGUAGACGACUGGGUUGAUAGGCCAGAUAUGGAAGCCUGGUAACGGGUGGAGUUGACUGGUACUAAUAGGCCGAGGGCUUGUCCUC